rnacentral:rRNA from 1 species
UACGAAGGGGGCUAGCGUUGCUCGGAAUCACUGGGCGUAAAGGGUGCGUAGGCGGGUCUUUAAGUCAGGGGUGAAAUCCUGGAGCCCAACUCCAGAACUGCCUUUGAUACUGAAGAUCUUGAGUUCGGGAGAGGUGAGUGGAACUGCGAGUGUAGAGGUGAAAUUCGUAGAUAUUCGGAGGAACACCAGUGGCGAAGGCGGCUCACUGGCUCGAUACUGACGCUGAGGUGCGAAAGCUAGGGGAGCGAACAGG